CAACUCGACUACAUGAAGCUGGAAUCGCUAGUAAUCGCAAAUCAGAAUGUUGCGGUGAAUACGUUCCCGGGUCUUGUAACACACCGCCCGUCACACCAUGGGAGUCGGAAAUGCCCGAAGUCUGUGACCCAACGAAAGAGGGAGCAGCCGAAGGCAGGUCUGAUAACUGGGGUGAAGUCGUAACAAGGUACC
rnacentral:rRNA from 1 species